rnacentral:rRNA from 1 species
AGCAGUCGCCGCGGGAAUACGGAGGGUGCAAGCGUUAAUCGGAAUUACUGGGCGUAAAGCGCACGCAGGCGGUCUGUCAAGUCAGAUGUGAAAUCCCCGGGCUUAACCUGGGAACUGCAUUUGAAACUGGCAGGCUAGAGUCUUGUAGAAGGGGGUAGAAUUCCAGGUGUAGCGGUGAAAUGCGUAGAGAUCUGGAGGAAUACCGGUGGCGAAGGCGGCCCCCUGGACAAAGACUGACGCUCAGGUGCGAAAGCGUGGGGAGCAAACAGGAUUAGAUACCCGCGUAGUCCCUGUCUCUUAUAC